rnacentral:rRNA from 1 species
UACGAAGGGGGCUAGCGUUGCUCGGAAUCACUGGGCGUAAAGGGUGCGUAGGCGGGUCUUUAAGUCAGGGGUGAAAUCCUGGAGCUCAACUCCAGAACUGCCUUUGAUACUGAGGAUCUUGAGUAUGGGAGAGGUGAGUGGAACUGCGAGUGUAGAGGUGAAAUCCGUAGAUAUUCGCAAGAACACCAGUGGCGAAGGCGGCUCACUGGCCCAUUACUGACGCUGAGGCACGAAAGCGUGGGGAGCAAACAGG